CGCGUCGCCGAGCCCGCGCCACCUGUCCACGCCGGCACGACUCGCAGCCGCACUCGCCGCUCCGCUGAAUGAAACCCCUCACCCUAUCAUGAUUUCAGACGCUACUCCUAAUUAUCAAGUGCUAUAACGUCUCCUGUAUGGUGGCCGCGAGUGGUGGUGCCCGGGGUGCGCGCGGGUAAACAACCGGUCCAGAUAGGAAGCUGCGUCGGCUCACGCCCGACUACAGUGGAAUGCGGCAAUUUUAACUACUGCGGACCACGGGACCCCAUUUACGAAUAGGGAUCGAACAAUACUGACCAUACAAGAACAGUUUUUCUCGGUGUUGGAGAGUUGUAUGCGGCUCUGGAAUAGUGUCUGGCUGUGGUCGGAUGCAGCGAAUGGUGAUGCAUCAACGAUGAGUCGCCGCGCGCGGCCGUGACAUGGGAGCGCAGGCAUGGGCUGGCGCGCCGUGCAACCGCCGCACAUCGCCGCCGGCUUGCUGUUACUGCUGCUAGCCAACCUGCCAGUGACCUGCCACCAAGACCACCAAGAUGCUGUGCAUAUCACGGCGAUCCUCGGCGAGAGCGUCGUGUUCAACUGCCAGGUGGACUUCCCUGAAGACAUCCCGGUGCCGUACGUCUUGCAGUGGGAGAAGAAGGUAGGCGAAACGGGACAGGACAUCCCGAUCUACAUCUGGUACGAGAGCUACCCGACGCACAGCGGCGAGGGCUACGAGGGGCGAGUUUCCCGCGUGGCCCCGGACUCGCCUUACGGCGCGGCCAGCCUCAACCUCACUAAUAUCCGCGAGUCUGACCAGGGGUGGUACGAGUGUAAGGUGGUCUUCCUCAACCGGUCCCCCAACCAGCACAAGAACGGAACCUGGUUCCACCUCGACGUGCACGCGCCACCGCGCUUCUCCAUCACACCGGAAGACAUUAUCUACGUUAAUUUAGGAGAUGCUAUCAUCCUCAACUGCCAGGCCGAGGGCACGCCCACGCCCGAGAUCCUGUGGUACAAGGAUGCGAACCCCGUGGAACCGUCAGGGACCGUGGGCAUAUUCAACGACGGGACUGAGCUGCGCAUCAGCAACAUCCGACACGAAGACAUCGGCGACUACACCUGCAUCGCGCGCAACGGCGAAGGGCAGGUGUCGCACACCGCACGCGUCAUCAUCGCCGGCGGUGCUGUUAUUACCAUGCCCCCGACAAACCAAACGAAGCUAGAGGGGGAGAAGGUCCAAUUCUCUUGUGAAGCUAAAGCACUGCCAGGGAAUGUGACUGUGAAGUGGUUCCGCGAAGGCGCGCCAGUGGCGGAGGUGGCAGCACUAGAAACACGUGUAACCAUCCGGCGAGACGGCGCGCUCGUCAUCAACCCGGUAGCCGCUGACGACUCCGGACAGUAUCUCUGCGAAGUUUCCAAUGGCAUCGGAGACCCGCAGAGCGCAUCGGCCUAUCUUAAUGUUGAAUAUCCAGCGAAAGUAACGUUCACGCCUACGGUACAAUACCUUCCCUUUCGACUCGCUGGAGUGGUGCAGUGCUACAUAAAAGCGAACCCGCCACUACAGUAUGUCACGUGGACGAAAGACAAGAGGCUUCUAGAGCCCUACCAGACGAAGGAUAUCGUCAUCAUGAACAAUGGCUCGCUACUCUUCACACGCGUCAAUCAGAACCAUCAAGGAAGAUAUACGUGCACGCCUUACAACGCGCAAGGGACUCAAGGGUCGUCAGGUCCUAUGGAAGUUUUAGUGCGGAAGCCACCUGUGUUCACUGUAGAACCAGAACCUUUAUAUCAACGAAAGGUGGGAGAAUCGGUAGAAAUGCACUGUGAGGCGCAAGAAGCCGAGGGAACGCAGCGACCCAGCGUGACGUGGCGACGGCGUGAUGGUCUACCGCUGCAGAAGAACCGAGUCCGGGCGCUCGGGGGAAACAUCACCAUUGACACGCUGCGUCGGCAGGACUUCGGCAUCUAUCAGUGCGUCGCUUCUAACGAGGUGGCAACGAUAGUAGCGGACACGCAGCUGGUGAUAGAGGGGACGCAGCCGCACGCGCCGUACAACGUGUCUGGCACGGCGACGGAAUUCUCUGUGACGCUGCGCUGGCAGCCCGGGUACGCCGGCGGGCCCGACUACAAGCAGGACUACACCAUCUGGUACCGCGAGGCCGGCUUCUCCGAGUGGACCAAAGUGCCCGUCACUCCUUCUGGUGCUACUUCUGUAACUAUAAAUAGACUCCAGCCAGGAACGACCUACGAAUUUCAAGUGAACAGCAAAAACACAAUAGGCGAAGGGAUGAUGAGCAAAGCUAUAACGAUACGAACUCUCGAUGUAGGUGCCAGACCGAAGGCGCCGCCAAGCUCUCCGGGGCCUGUAGACGAGAAAAUAUUCGUAAACGCUCCCAGGGACUCGGGUCCUCGGCCGGGCAACCCUCGCAACCUGACUGUGACAGAGGUCCAUAAUGGGUUCCUGAUCACGUGGCAAGCGCCGCUGGAGCGCGCCAACCUGGUCCAAUACUACACCAUCAAGUAUCGCACUGACGCUCAGUGGAAGACGCUCAAUCGGGGACAGAUCCGCCCUGAGGAGACUAGUUAUUUAGUGAAGAACCUGGUCGGAGGCCGUACGUAUUACUUCCGGGUGCUAGCAAACUCUGCCACCAGCUACGAGAGUUCUGAGGAAGUGAAGUUCCCGGUGCCAGCGAGGGUGAAGCACAAAGCGAUCACGGCGGGCGUCGUCGGAGGGAUCUUGUUCUUCAUCGUGGCUAUUAUUCUGUCAGUGUGCGCCGUCAAGAUCUGCAACAAGCGCAAGCGCCGCAAGCAGGAGAAAGAAAUUAUUCGCUUGCAGCAUACAACAUGGUAGCCGCGCGGCUCACCGACCUCCGCGCCGCAGACAGCACUCAAGUGCCUUUUAAGAAAUUUAGAGAAAGCGGAAUAUCGAGUAUAGUGCAGUGUCUGAAGUUCACGGCCAACUGGGUGUGGCCGGCGUCGCGGUGCGGCGGCGAGCCGCAGUACUGGGCGCGGGCGGCGCCGGCG
rnacentral:misc_RNA from 1 species